rfam:Gossypium raimondii Chr05_contig_451, whole genome shotgun sequence.
UAUAAAAAAAUUCAUCUAUUUCUACGGUUAAAAACUAGCGCGAUUGAUAGAAUAACCAAACAAUUACGUCAUGUGUAUCUCAAUCUAACAUAUAUGGACCACUUUUUAAUAGUAAAAAUUGAUGAAAUUUUAACA